AACUCGCAGCAAUCUUCCUGCCUCAGCCUCUGGAGUUCUGGGAUUACUGGCAUGUACCACCUCGCUCAGCAUGGAAGAUGUUUGGAAAGGCCAGAGAUACCUUUAAGAGAGCCCUACCCAAAGCCACCCGGACAGAGGAGCACAAGCUGGGUUUGCAGCCUGUGUGGCCAGAACCCUUUCCAACAGGCUCUGGGACAGAAUGCAUGUUCCUCACGGCCCCCAAGGGUGGCCAACGGCCCCGCCCAGCCGGAGCACACUGCUAAGCCCUAGGGAAGACUCAGGGGUAAGCAAGCCUUAGUUGCUUGUCUUUUAAAAAAAAAAAACAACAUAUUUAUAGAUUUGUUUUCACUUCAUCUCCUCAAAGAAAAACUUCAAAAUCAACUUUAAGCAGCUGGGAGGAGAAGGGGGAAGAAGGGAACGCUGUGGGUUCCCUCCAACCCAAGUGCCCCUGGAGGUCCUUGGGGCACAGGGUGUGUUGCUCAUCCUCAGCGAGCUGCAAAUUCAAGAUGAAUCAGAAACACAAAAUCAUACGGUGACUUGCAUGCGAGAUCCCUGGCCAGGAGCCCUGCCAAGCAGCAACAGAGAGGGCGUGGCAGGGAAGCAGGAAGCAGUUUCCCCAGCAGCCCGGGAAGGAAUGAGGAGCAGCUUUGUGACCACCACUCCCUCAAACCCAGGACUCUGGUACACAUGCUCCAGAACCCAAGUACCCGUAUGUCAGUGCCCUGCAGCUAGUGCUGCAUGCCCGGAGAAGGGACGGGACCAAACCACAGCCAGGCCUUGGACGGAGAGACCAGAGCAGAGGCCGGCGUGGUGCUGGAUUGGGCCGUGACAGACUUCCUCCCCGCGGAGCCCUCUGGAAUGCUUGGAACUCAGCGGUGACAGUCCAGAAGUUUCUCUUUCCCUGGAGGGCUCUGGCUUGGAGGGAAAGGUCUAGAUAAGGGCCUGAGCUUUAUCUUUCCUCCACCCCGCCUCUCCUGUCCCGAGGACUUCACGUACGCCAAGGGCGGAACAAUGACUCUGGGACGUUUGGCUACCCUGGUCAGCCUGCCCACUUCCUGUCCCUGUCCCUGCCCCGGGAUUAAGGAAAACAACUACUUCUUAUGUUUAGAUAGCUCUCGGCGGUACACAAUGGGUGCUCAUAAACGUGCCCUCGCUAAAAAUGUCUCCUCCCGCCCAAAAUAAAUACAUCAAAAUAAAAAUGUCUUCCCCCACG